CAAUAGCGUAUAUUAAAGUUGUUGCGGUUAAAAAGCUCGUAGUUGGAUUUCUGUCGAAGACUGCCGGUCCGCUCUAUGAGCGUGUAUCUGGUUAGGCUUUGGCAUCCUCUUGAAGAACGUUGCUGUGCUUAAUUGCAUGGUGCGGAAUUCAAGACUUUUACUUUGAGGAAAUUAGAGUGUUCACGGCAGGCAAGCGCCUUGAAUACAUUAGCAUGGAAUAAUAAUAUAGGAUCGCGAUUCUAUUUUGUUGGUUUCUAGAAUCACGAUAAUGAUUAAUAGGGAUAAUUGGGGCGAUUUGUAUUAACGCGUCAGAGUGGAUCUUGGAUGCGUUACGACAACUUACUGCGAAAGCAUUUGCCAAAGGAUGUUUUCAUUGAAUCAAUGAACGAAAGUAUUGGGAUCGAAGAACGAAUUAGGAU
rnacentral:rRNA from 1 species